UGGGGAAUAUUGCACAAUGGGGGGAAACCCUGAUGCAGCAACGCCGCGUGAGUGAAGAAGUAUUUCGGUAUGUAAAGCUCUAUCAGCAGGGAAGAAGAUGACGGUACCUGACCAAGAAGCCCCGGCUAACUACGUGCC
rnacentral:rRNA from 1 species